rnacentral:rRNA from 1 species
GAUGAACGCUAGCGGCAGGCUUAACACAUGCAAGUCGAGGGGUAUAGUUCUUCGGAAUUAGAGACCGGCGCACGGGUGCGUAACGCGUAUGCAAUCUACCUUUCACAGAGGGAUAGCCCCAGAGAAAUUUGGAUUAAUACCUCAUAGUAUAGCAGUUUCGCAUGAAACCACUAUUAAAGUCACAACGGUGAAAGAUGAGCAUGCGUCCCAUUAGCUAGUUGGUAAGGUAACGGCUUACCAAGGCAACGAUGGGUAGGGGUCCUGAGAGGGAGAUCCCCCACACUGGUACUGAGACACGGACCAGACUCCUACGGGAGGCAGCAGUGAGGAAUAUUGGACAAUGGGCGCAAGCCUGAUCCAGCCAUGCCGCGUGCAGGAUGACGGUCCUAUGGAUUGUAAACUGCUUUUAUACAGGAAGAAACACUCCCUCGUGAGGGAACUUGACGGUACUGUAUGAAUAAGGACCGGCUAACUCCGUGCCAGCAGCCG